AUCUUUAGCCAUACCAAACUAAACACACCCAAUCUCCUCUGAUCUGGGAAACUCAGCAGGGUCAGGCCUGGUAAUUACUUGGAUGGGAGACUGUUGGUAAUACUGGGCACUAUAGACU
ensembl:rRNA 5S_rRNA 5S ribosomal RNA